CAAAGAUCUCAAAUUUGGACUCAUCAGACCAAAGCAGAGAUUUUCACUGGUGUAAUGGCCAUUCCUUCUUGUUUUUGGCCCAAACAAAUCUCUUCUGCUGGUUGCUUUUCCUGAGUGGUGAUUUCGUAGCAGCUAUUUGGCCAUAAAGGUCUGAUUCGUGCAGUUUCUCUAUCUGGGGUCUAAUCUGAGGUGCUUGCAAUUUCUGAGGCUGGUGACUCAGAAAUAUGUACCCUCAGCAGCAGAGGUGACUCUUGGUCUUCCUUUCCUGGGGAGGUUCUCAUGUAAGCCAGUUUCGUCAUAGCUCUUGAUAGUUUUACGGCUGCACUUGGGGACAGACUCAAAGUUUUAGCAGUUUUCCAGAUUGACUGACCUUCAGUUCUUAAAGCAAUGAUGGACUGUCAUUUCUCUUUACUUAGCUGAGUGGUUCAUGCCAUAAUAUGAAGUAGUCAAAUAGGGCUGUCAGCUGUGUACCAAGCUAACUUCUGCACAACACAACUGAUGGUCCCAACCCCAUUAAGAAGGCAAGAAAUUCCACAAAUGAACCCCGACGAGGCACAGCUGUGAGGUGAAAACCAUUUCAGGUGACUACAUCAUGAAGCUUACUGAGAGAAGGCCAAGGGUUUGCUACAUAUCUAAAUUAUGAAUCAUACACAUGAUGGAUAACUACACAUAAGACCAAUUAUUCAUGUAGGUAGAUAGAAAUUUGUCUGCAUUAUUUAUUGGUAGAGUUUGACAAGACAUCUGUUUAGAAGUCACAGCAGUGUGAUUCAGGUGACGAGGAGGAUGAUGAAGAAGAUGACAUUGAUGGACCGAGGGUGAAGAGAGCAGCUGAUGACGAUGAUGAUGACGAGGAUGAGGUUGAAAGCAAGAAGCAGAAGACAGAUCAGUAGUGUCUGCAGCGCCCACUCUGCACGGAGGACGACACUAUUGAAAGACAGCCAGCAAACCUUCUACACCUCAGUCCUCCUUUCGUAACAAAAAUGUGUUUAAAAAGAAAAUUUGUUUGUAUUUUUAUUUACAUUUUAUAUUUUUGUAAAUAUUGUAAGGAGUUUGGCCAUUUUGCAAAAGUGAUCUGGGUAUACAGUGGUGCUCUGAAGACUUUUAGAUCAACAUCAACCAUCCAUACUCUGUCUCAACCACCAGCCUGUCAUUCCAACAGCACACACACACACACGUACUACAACUACCUUUUUUCUGUUUUUCUAAGACGUAUAGGAUGCUAGAAGUUGUGUGUUGACCUGUAGUUGCAUGGGAGUGUUAAAAUAACUCGGCUCUUUUCCCAGUGCUGGGGAUAUAUUAGUGGUAGUUUCUAUGAGAUUCCAAAGUCGUAGUUUCUCUUGUCCAUGUGUCUCUAUCUGUGUGUCCGUCAUGGCCAGAUUAUAAUUUUUUUUAAAUGUCUGUGCAAUUUGGUUGAAUAAUAAAUUCAUUUGAUUUUGUUUUUAGAUUUG
ensembl:lncRNA